UUUUUUUUUUUUUCCUCGCUGUCUCCUAUGCUGGCAACGUCCUGCGAGUGGCUAUUUUGCUUUUGCACCGAGAGAAGGGCUUCUCCCCCCCCCUCCUUUGGUGACACUUAUGGAUGAAAUCCACACACCGAUGUCUAACCUGUAGUGAAAGCCAGUGUAAGUAAUCCAAUGUUCUAUAGCUAUAUUUGGUUAUGAAUUGAUUGACUCUGCUUAGUCCUGUUGAAUAAUGGUUAAUUAGCAGUUUCAAUUUUCAAUUUCGGCAUUAUUACAAUUAGGCUUUGUACAAAUUUUGCCACUCUUAAGUGUUAUUGCCCACCCACCCGUGCCUUGCCCCAAAUGCUAGUGACUAGAAUUAACAACCGAAAUAUAUCUAAACAACUGGCUUUGAUUUUUUUGUUGUCUAAUAGUGUCUUUUUUUAAGAGCUGACUUAGGAAGACAGAACACUGGGACAGUCAUCGUUUUCUAGUAGAAUAAUGCACUUUGUGAUUCAGGUUGGCUCUGAAAGUCAAUUUAAAGCCUUCCUUAGAAGCAACUGUGCUAAAGCAAAAGUGCACAGAGAAGAAAGUACAGCUCAGCACAGCAGCUAGUCAGAAAGCUGAAGUCUCAAUCCGUUUUCCAUGCAAGCAUAAAGCGUAACAGGUCUGAGCACUGAAUACAAAAUAUUAGUGCAAAUACUUACCAGACUCCUCCCUUUUCACCCUAUUAUUUCUCCUAUUCUUGUUACAUUGUUUUUCAUCUUUCCCUUCCUUCUGUAAAGGAAAAUAAUUUCCUCCUCUCCAUUUCAGUUUCUUCCUUUCACAUUUGCUUUUUCCUACUCACCUGCACAAUUUCUGAAAUUUCAAAAUGUAAAAGGGCUAUGGAUCCAAUCCUGGGUUCAAAUUCCAAAUCCUGGAAGCUUUUAGCAUGGCUGAAGAUCAAUGACUUAAAAUUUCAGUGUUUGUGUUCUCUCAUUUCCAACAAAGAUAGAAAAUCACCAGCAAUGAGAACCUAUUUAGAUAACUGUAAUCUUAGAAUAAGAACAGCAUUCUGUGAAGAGCUCUGCUCAUACAGCAAACAUAACAGUGAUUUUUACUGAUUUGGAACUAUAUUAUUAUCUCUGAUACCUUAUUUUUAUGCUCAGCUGUUAGGAGAGGAGCACAUCCACUUCUCUCCUUUAGUAGCCAUUUUAAAUGAUGCACUGAAUGCCUCAACAAAUGAAAAGAUUCAUGUCUUUAAAUAAUUUAUAACCAGCUUCCAAUAUUUAGAAGAAUAUAAAAAUAGCUAGAGUUAAGGCUAGCAUACGGUACACAAAUGUAAGUAUUUUUUCUCCUAUAGCAAUUCAUCAACACUGAUUACCCGUAUCCAUGACAUACAUUUUUAGAUGCCAACUCUUCUAAACAUGAAAUCCAUGUUUACAUGAUUUUUUUCAAGCAACUUAAUAGCCAUUAUAUCAAAUGUUGUUUCACACAUAGUAUCAACAUUUGAUGUUUCGCUGGCAUGGUAACAGAAAGUCAGCUCAGUAUAAGUUACUUUGUAGAGGAUAGUGCCAAAACUUCAAGGUGUCCCCUCUCAGUAAGCAGGAACUCCUGCAGUCUUUAAAGAUAAAAUGACAUAUGACAAGCAGUAAGAGUAGAGCCAGUUUUUAGGGACCAACAUUGACUAACUAAAAGAGAGAUCUCUACACCCACUAUAAAAAUCUGCCCAAGAAAGAAACACCAAAACAGUUUUCCAUUAAAAUGUACCCUCAAAAAAAAAAAAAA